rnacentral:lncRNA from 10 species
UGGAAGGGUAAGACCCGAUGCAAGGCAAGGAGAGAGCUCGAGGUGGUGGCUGCUGGUUAGCUCCCUCUGGGCGCGGAUCUGGCCAGAAGUGAAUGCACCAACAUCCAUAACUCCUCGGAAAAGCCGGCUGACUCCCCUCGCUCCUUUCUCGGAUCCGCUGCCUACGCCUCUGGAGCCUCCCGUGCCUGCACCUUUGUAACUGGUUACUUUAUUAAAGUCUCUUCACUUAAAUCAACUGGGAAGAAUUCUGUCCUACUCAGGACACUAACUUCAAACUGCAGUAUAUACCAUCACAGCUUCUUUGGUUUGACAGAACAUUUGGACACAUUUCUGCAAACGGACCCUUGGCAUCUCUUCUUGGAACAAAAUUUUGUAUUUGGACUCUGGCACCAUGCACCACAGAUGCAAGCAAGAAGCACUUCUACCUUCUGAGGCGGCCCCUCAAACUCAAGCCAGCUAGGCUAGGCCUGUCCAGCUUUCCUUCACAAAGAAGGAUUGGAGAGUUGCCGCUUACUGGCUUUCUCAAAUGUCAUUACUUAGCCAGUCUUCUGAAGAUUGAGAUUCAUGAACAUUGGACUCUUGCCUGUAAUUACAAUUCUUAAGUAUAUUAACCUUAUUUUCAGCUGUAUUUUUAGUUGCUUUCUGACUUCAUCUUGAAAAUACCUAUACUCUUUCUGCAUUUAUUCUAAUCUUACUUCUGAUCUUGAUUUUAAAAAGAUCUUUAUCAAUGAAAUCACCUCCAAGAACUAUUUUUGAACUUUAAGAUGUAUUCUUAAAUUUUUAGUAAAAUAGGAUUUAGAAUCAACUUUGUGAAGAUUACUAACAGAAAAAUGAAUAGCUCCUACCAUGAGGCAGUUUAUAGUUAAUGUAAAGAAUAUUAUACUUGUUUAUACAUGAAAAAGCCAUUUUCUUUCUCUAAACCUCAGAGAGCUAUAUAUAUUUAAUGAAUAAAUGAAUGUAUGAUGAAUGAAUUCCUGUCAGUCUUUAGCGAAGUCUUAUCUCUUAUUUGGAAUUCUUUCUUUAUCCCCUAUGUCUUCAUAAAUUCCAACCAAUAUCCAGGAUUAAUUCAAAUUCCUUACAAGGAUCUGAGAAGGGUUGGAGCUGUGGUAUGGGUAUGAUUGGUAGAUAGUUUUGAGCAACACUAUCACCAGAAAAUCUCUAUUUUUCUCCCAGUGACUUUUUGUUGAGGGUUGAAGAGUUUCCUUGAAGGCAAAAAAAAAAAAACUGUACUCAUCCAAAAUGUUACAGAUGUAACUUAUGGUUCAAUAGAAGCCUCUGCAAGCCAGGAUACAGAAAGAAACUUGAACCUUUGCAGAAGCUUGCAGAUUCAGCAACAGAGACUGAGAUAAGAAUGAAAUGGUAAUUCUGGGUAUGGUGUGGUGCCAAGUCCUGAAACCAGUCCCAAUAUACCUACCCUAGAAGCAUGUGGACAUCCUGAGGACAUGAAGGGCUCUAUGUGUGAUCCGGAAAAGGUGUUCCACUAUAUUCUAAAGUAUUUAUGGGCUGUGGUAGGCAGAGAAAAUUAUCCAGCAAAAAUUCAUGAAUUGUUACUGAAAAGUGACUUCUCAGAUAAGUAUUACAUUUCUCAGCUCUCGUCGUCAUUAAGCAUUACCAUGGUGACUCAGAUCUAUCCAGUGGAAUAUUGUAAGAAGUGAUGUUGCUAUUCAAGAUCUGGCUCAUGGAAGUGCUCCUCUGUGAUCUUCUCUCUUUUUUUUCUGCUGCCUAUAAUAAAAACUUCUCCCAGGGAACUUUGGAAGUCUCAUGCAGAAGACAGCAGAAACUUCACCAAUCUGGGUCUCUGUGUGACUGAAAGUAUAAGAGAUGGCAGACCCAUCUACCUGUUCUCUCACCUUUUAGUGUCACAUGAUCAAGAAAUACACUUCUAUUGUCGAGAGCCAUAUAUGCUUUUGAGUCUACUUGUACUGUGAGUUUACUCUAGUUCAGAUCCUUAAGCUCUCCUGCUAUGGAACCCUACCCAUUGAGCUUAAUAUAGUGGGAUGGAACAUUGCAAAGACUCCUGACAUACUGUUUGAGCACUGAGAACAUUAAUGUUGCAAAUAAAAAGGUAGGAAUAUGCACCUUAAUGAAAUGAGGGGCCUGUGUGAGGCAAGGAAUGAUGGUGAAGAUAGAGCUUGGAGUAGCAGAGGAUGGUGGGUAAUUACAGUUCAAACUGAUAUUGAAGUGCAUAUAAGAUCCUUUUUGUUGCUGAAGGGGUGGGAAGUGUUAAGGCAUUGGAGUUUCUGAAUGAGAAAAUGAGAAGUUGGAAAUAGCAAUAUUCAAGUACUACUAACAGUGUGACCUUAGAUGUGUCAGAUUGGUGAGGCAUGUAUGCAUUGUAUUAUGCUAUUCUACAAUGGGGCACAAUGACAAAUGCUUAAAUCAAAGAUGAAUGAGAACUGUGCUGAUGACAACUGAAAGCAUUUAUUGAGAGAGUACUCAAAUAGAUCAGCACGUUGCCAUAUAACCUAUCCUCUUAGCCAAAUUUAGGCAUUCAGAUCACUCAAUUAUUUAUAGAUGUAUUAAAAUGUCAAAAUUGAAGUACUGGUUCAAUCACUUAGACAUUCAGAAAUAUUCAUUGGGCAUCUGUUAUGUCUGUGGCAUGGUCCUAGGCAAUGGUGAUGAAAUGGUGGAUUAGGACAGACAAGGUCUCUGUUUCUUCCUGGGGAUUAUUUGCUGGUAGAGAAAAUAUACAGCAUAAAAUGAAUAAAUAAGAUGGUAAAUCUUGAAAUUGUUAUUGUGAGUAAAAUAAAAAGUGUUUUUUAAUAGAGAAUAUUAAGAAACGUGAAAAGUGAGAA